rnacentral:rRNA from 1 species
CCCGAUGGAGGGGGAUAACUACUGGAAACGGUAGCUAAUACCGCAUAACGUCGCAAGACCAAAGUGGGGGACCUUCGGGCCUCACACCAUCGGAUGUGCCCAGAUGGGAUUAGCUAGUAGGUGGGGUAAUGGCUCACCUAGGCGACGAUCCCUAGCUGGUCUGAGAGGAUGACCAGCCACACUGGAACUGAGACACGGUCCAGACUCCUACGGGAGGCAGCAGUGGGGAAUAUUGCACAAUGGGCGCAAGCCUGAUGCAGCCAUGCCGCGUGUAUGAAGAAGGCCUUCGGGUUGUAAAGUACUUUCAGCGAGGAGGAAGGCAUUAAGGUUAAUAACCUUGGUGAUUGACGUUACUCGCAGAAGAAGCACCGGCUAACUCCGUGCCAGCAGCCGCGGUAAUACGGAGGGUGCAAGCGUUAAUCGGAAUUACUGGGCGUAAAGCGCACGCAGGCGGUCUGUCAAGUCGGAUGUGAAAUCCCCGGGCUCAACCUGGGAACUGCAUUCGAAACUGGCAGGCUAGAGUCUUGUAGAGGGGGGUAGAAUUCCAGGUGUAGCGGUGAAAUGCGUAGAGAUCUGGAGGAAUACCGGUGGCGAAGGCGGCCCCCUGGACAAAGACUGACGCUCAGGUGCGAAAGCGUGGGGAGCA